UGCUUAAUUUUAUGUCUUUUCAUAUUCUGCCCAGAAUGAAAAAGAACUGAAACGGGAAAGGAGAAAACAGUCAAAUAGAGAAUCCGCUAGGAGGUCAAGGUUGAGGAAGCAGGCUGAGGCAGAAGAACUAGCUCAUAAAGUUGAUUCACUGACUGCGGAGAAUGUUGCUAUUCGAUCUGAAAUAAAAAGAUUGUCGGAGAACUCUGAGAAAAUUAAGAAAGAAAACGCUACAUUGAUGAUAAAGCUUAAAAGCGCUCAAUCAGGACGAUCCGAAGCUUUAGACAUGAAUGAAAAGAGGAUGCAACAGCCUGUAAGCACAGAAAUCAAAGGACCUGUGAAUAAAAGCAUUAAAGAAGAGAGUAACAUCUGCAAGAAAAACUCGAGUUCGGGUGCAAAACUGUGCCAGCUCUUGGACACGAGUUCAAGGGCGGACGCAGUCGCUGCUAGCUAAAAAGAACCAGUUUAGUUGCAGUUUCUUUUUCAUGUGGUUUUGGCAUAUUACAAGCCCAAAAUUACUGCUAACA